rnacentral:rRNA from 1 species
GAUGAACGCUGGCGGCGUGCCUAAUACAUGCAAGUCGAGCGAACAGACGAGGAGCUUGCUCCUCUGACGUUAGCGGCGGACGGGUGAGUAACACGUGGAUAACCUACCUAUAAGACUGGGAUAACUUCGGGAAACCGGAGCUAAUACCGGAUAAUAUAUUGAACCGCAUGGUUCAAUAGUGAAAGACGGUUUUGCUGUCACUUCUAGAUGGAUCCCCGCCGCAUUAGCUAGUUGGUAAGGUAACGGCUUACCAAGGCGACGAUGCGUAGCCGACCUGAUAGGGUGAUCGGCCACACGGGAACGGAGACACGGACCAGACGCCUACGGGAGGCAGCAGUAGGGAAUCUGCCGCAAUGGGCGAAAGCCUGACGGAGCAACGCCGCGUGAGUGAUGAAGGUCUUCGGAUCGUAAAACUCUGUUAUUAGGGAAGAACAAAUGUGUAAGUAACUAUGCACGUCUUGACGGUACCUAAUCAGAAAGCCACGGCUAACUACGUG